rnacentral:lncRNA from 1 species
CGACUGUAGUCCCAGCUACUCCAGAGGCUGAGGCAAGAGCAUGGCGUGAACCCGGGAGGCGGAGCUUGCAGUGAGCCGAGAUUGCUCCACUGCACUCCAGCCUAGGCGACAGAGCGAGACUCCACAACAAAACUGGAUCCCACUCAAUGCAGUUAAGGUGCCAAAAGUUCCCUGAUAUAACACAGAGGAAAGAAUCCAAAGCCUUAAGAAGAUGUAUUUAUUUUUAUUCAUUCAAAAUAAAUGUUGAGGCCGGGCGCGGUGGCCCGCGCCUGUAAUCCCAGCAUUUUGGGAGGCCGAAGCAGGUGGAUCACCUGAGGUCAGGAGUUCAAGAUCAGACUGGCCAACAUGGUGAAACCCCAUCCCUACAAAAAUACAAAAAGUAGCUGGGCAUGAUGGCGGGUGCCUGUAAUCCCAGCUACUCAGGAGAGCAAGACUCCAUCUCAAAAAAUAAAUACACACAGGCUGGGUGCAGUGGCUCAUGCCUGUAAUCCAUGAUGGCUAUUAUUUCCCAGUAACCCAAAAUGCUACUCAACAUAAUAAUAUAAUUGCCCUUUCUAGG